UGAGUUGGCCGGGUAGUCGCGGAGGAUUUUCCUCUGAGGAAGGUCGGGGCUUCAUAGGGCAGAGUGCUUCGUUACUGAAGGCAGGGCGACCUGACGGAAAGUGCAACAGAAAAUAUACCGCACCUGAAAGGUGUAAGGGUGAAAAGGCGUGUUAAGAGCACACCAGCGCAAUGAGCAAUCAAUGCGGCUUUGUAAACCCCACUCGAAGCAAGAUCAUGUAGGGGUAUCAGGCGGCCCGUCUAGGUAGCGACCUAAAAUAUCGUUACUAUACCUCUGGUGGAUCGCUUAGAUGGAUGGCUACCGCGGACUUAGGUCCAGACAGAACCUCGCCUAUAGACCAACUCAGCCC
rnacentral:RNase_P_RNA from 1 species